ACCUCUGAGGUUCGUGUGUGGCAGUGACUUGUAGAAGUGGAUUGUGCAUAGACUCUUGGAACGGCUGCCUGCAAGUGCAGCCAGACAACUGGGAGGGAAUAUUCUCUGGGACAUCAGAUCUGGAGGGAAGGCGAGGUACAUUAGGUCCAGUGUCUGCUACAAAUGUGUCGAUUCCAGUAGCUGGCGAGCCUGUUUAUGUUAAAAUGGACGAUAUGGAAUUUUGCAGGCAUCCUAUUGCAAAUAUGUGCCCUCCUGGGGAACAAUAUGGUAGACCUACUGAACAAGCAAAUCAUUCUCAGGCAUAUAUGAAUACUCAAUCCAAUUUAUGCUGUAUUCCAACAUCAACUGGAUCACAGAAGUUGGUUCCACUGGAUGUGUAUGGCAGACCAAAUUUCGAUCGUUGGACGACAACAUACCAUGAUGCCUACAACACAUACCACGAUCCACAGGAUG